rnacentral:lncRNA from 1 species
CUGAAAAAGGACCAAACUUCUACGCUAAUUGAAACCACUAAUUUAUUCCAGUAAUUGCGAGGUUCUGAAUGAAGCUUUAUAUUUUCCAUAAUUCUCCAUUUCUACUAAUCAUUUUGUAUUUCUUACAACCGUUUUUAUAAGAUCUCUUCUAGAUUGAUUUAAACUUUCAAAUAUAGUUAUACUUUUUGUAUUUACUAAUUUAUUAUAUAACUUUGUACAAAGAGUUUCUAAUAUUAUGUUUGUCAAAUUUUUCAAAUAAGUCAUGAUGUAUCUGUUCAAUUUAGAAUUCUACUUAACUGAUUACCUAGUUUUAUAUAGAAAAUAUUUCAGUUGCAAAUAACAGUACCUAUUUUGAAUCUCCUGAAUUUUACUUGUAACGAACACUAAGGGAACAUAUUUUAAUCUUAAAGAAAAUAUUUUUUUGUUUUAUUGGUCAACAUGAUUCCAUCAGAUAUUAUUUGCCGAACGCAGUGAUAAUUUUACCUACAACAGAUAAUUUAUUACUUUAGUGUUUGUGAUGGUAGAAAUUCAAGAAUAUUGGUUUAAAAAUGAAAUGAAAAUAAUUAUUAAAGAUUUCGUUAAAAUUUCAAAAAGUAUUCAUUAAUAUUUACAAUUAUUUUUACGUGGAUGGGCUGCCUUUGUGUAAUAUGCAUUUGUAUAUAUAAUUUUAAAAUAUAUAGCGUAGCCUAUAAUAUUGAAAAAUCAUAGAAAUUGAAUAGAUACAAAAUGACCAUGAAGAAAAGUGAAACAAGUAACAAUUGUUUUGUUAAUAGAGCCUUUGAGGUGCCCUCUAGGAUAAAUUUUGUAUAAUAGUGAAAAUAUAUUUUAAAUUGUGCAACUUACUUAUAAAUAUUGUCCAUUAAAAAGUAUGGUGUUGAUUAUACAUACUGAUUUAAUUUAACAUAAGAUGUAUGUAUUUUAUAGAAAUGACAGGUAUGAAUGUAAUAUUAUUCUUGUUUUUUGGAAAUUUUAUUUAAAAGGUAUCUCAUAAUUAGUUUUUGGACAAAACUAAUUUGAAUUUUUUUUCUAUUUAUACUUGAUUGAAUUGAUUUUUUUUGCAUUGGUCUUAAUAAGGUCAUUGCAAAAACUCAUAAAUAUUUUUACAUAGAAUUGUAUUACUUAAUAGCAAUAAAAUUUUAUUGAGAGAACUUUUAUGUUUUUACAACUUAAAAUUUAACAUAAUAUUAUGAUUUCUUGUGCAUUGAUCUUAAUUUAAGUAAUAAAAUUCUAUAGACAAAACAUUUAAGCAUUUCCCCUGUUGGAGGAAAAAAACACGACAAAAAUUAAAAAAAAGAAAAAGUCAAAGCUGAAAUAUGUCACACCAGAGUAAAACAAAAAAAAAUUAGAUCGAUUAAAACACAUUUUCCUUAAACACAAGAGAUUUUGUAUUUAAGGAGAACAUAGAAAAGUAAAAUACAUUUUCUAUACACUUGAAAUUUAUAUGAUAUCAUAAACUAUCUAACCAAAACUCUAAAUUUCUAUAUGCUGAAUGCCAAUUCCACGCGUGUUAUCAUCUUUCAUCAGAUUUAUUCGACCACUCCUCCUGAUCGCUUGGUUCACUGCUUAUUGGAAUAUUAGAUAUAAUAUAUAAUUGGUCAAAACUUUGUUAUUGGCACCGUUUUGUCCCCACGACAACCAUGUCCAUGACAUUAUUGUGCAAUAUUUACACAAAAUAUAUUUUCCUGCUCUAAAUUGAUGAUUUUAUAGCCUAAAAAAGAAUCUUUUUGGGCGUGACAAUUUUUUUCUAAAUUGGUGCACACCAUUGGCGGCUCCUCAGGGUAGGCCUCUGAGGCCGCACCUUUAAAAUGAAGGAACGAUUUAUUUUUUGUAUCUAGUUUUUUUCCCAGUAUAACCCAGUAAUUCCAGUAUAACUUAUUACAAUUCUAUAACACAUUCAACAUAAUAAAACUAAAAAAAAUAUAUUUUAUAAAUACAUCCAGGUCCAGGCGCAACAUAUGCCGCGUAAACCCAGCCAAAAAGAACGCCACUUGACAGAGGCUAAAUAAUUCUAGCUUGGAAAGUUCGAAUUGCCUACUAUUGCCUAAUUCCUAUUAGCAGCGACGAUUUUAAAGAUCAUGUGACGCCGGUGAAGCGACGGCCGACGACGGGGUACGCAUUCUCGAUCGCGUGUUAUUUUGAGAGGGUUUAGGUGAGAUAUAUUUGGCGCAUGGGUGUGUUUUCAUUGGUACUUUAAAUCAUCUGACUAUUGACUAUUGAAAAAUGCGACAAAGUCUCGAUAUGCCUGAUUCAGGAAGUUAAAGUGCCGGUGGCUGGCCGGUGUGGUGAGAACAGCGUGGGUGAAUUAAUUAGCGUGUUUUUGUUUUUAUUUAGACAUUUACGACGAGAAUUAUUUAAAUUGUGUUUCUAAAUUUAAAUUAUUGGCUAUUAUGAUGGCUAUUAGAUACAAUAUUUCUAACUCAAUUACACAGAGGUGAGGUGGAAUUUUAGCAGUUUUUGAAAUUCAACGCAACAAAAUGAUUUCAACAAUAUUUAAUAUUGUUGAAAUUUGAAGGUUAGGCUUUUCUUUGCUGGUAAGAUUUAUUUUAUCAAUUUUAAAAUACCGAAGAGUAGUUGGAUUUUAAUGUUUUCUUUAAAAUGAAUUAUAUUUAUAACGUUAUUCUUUCUGUACUGGAGACUCCGUUUUUAAGACGAAAUGAAACUGAAAAAAAAGCCUAAUAAAUAUAUUAAGGAGUCAAUAAUUUCCGCAAUAUUUAACGAUAAGAAGCAAGGUAGGCAAUAGAUAAUUAUGAACUUUUCAAAUAUCUUGGUACUAAUUGGAAUAGGUAAUAUAAUAAUUAUUAUAUCUAAUAAUAUAAACCAUUAAAAAAGAGAUAACGCGUCGCAGAAUAAUACUUCUAGGAGAGAAAAUUUAUUUGUAUUUAAACAAAAUUAUUAACCUCGUGUAGCCUCACCUUUCUAUAUACCCACGAGCCGCCACUAGUGCACACCCAAAGUAUUGAACCAUCUGCCGCCUCUGUUAUUCAUUAUAUUAAGUGGUUAUACAGGGUGCACUAACAUGGAUGUUCAAAACAGGAAAACAAUUAAAUUCAAAUGACAGAUUAACUAUGACUGGUAUUUGUUCUUUCUGGGAUAACUUGACGACGUAUUUUCGAAUAUUUUUCUACUGAGAAAAUAAUAGAAUUUAAGAUUUAUUUUUUGCUAUUUGAACCAUGAUAAUCUCUGUUCGAGAUGCGAUUUUGACGGACCCCAUCCAUAAGGAAACACAAAUAAAAGCAAAGUAAUUUUAUAUAGGAAAAUAUAUAUUUUUUCCAAAAACUAAUUAUGCUUGUCCUUUAACCACUGUAUUCUUUUAUUGGUGUCAGAAUGAAACUUUUAUGGUAAACCUGUUAAAAGAAAUAUAAAAUAUUAUCCGAGGCAGUUGUAAUUUUCACUAAUGUCUUAUUUUAAAAGCUGUGUAAGUGUAUUUUUACAAAUCUUUUUGUCUGUAGUUGUGUGUGUAUUUUCUUGUUAUCCGAUCUUAUGGUUUAUAAUUUCGAUUUUUGUAAUUUUUCUGUAAAAACAGCAUCACAGCUCUUCGCAGAAUGGCGAUGUCUGUUCUCAAAUCUCACAAUAAAAACACUUACAGA